rnacentral:rRNA from 1 species
AGUGAACGCUGGCGGUAUGCCUAACACAUGCAAGUCGAACGGCAGCACAGUAAGAGCUUGCUCUUACGGGUGGCGAGUGGCGGACGGGUGAGGAAUACAUCGGAAUCUACUUUUUCGUGGGGGAUAACGUAGGGAAACUUACGCUAAUACCGCAUACGACCUACGGGUGAAAGCAGUGGAUCUUCGGACCUUUCGCGAUUGUAUUAGCCGAUGUCGGAUUAGCUAGUUGGCGGGGUAAAGGCCCACCAAGGCGACGAUCCGUAGCUGGUCUGAGAGGAUGAUCAGCCACACUGGAACUGAGACACGGUCCAGACUCCUACGGGAGGCAGCAGUGGGGAAUAUUGGACAAUGGGCGCAAGCCUGAUCCAGCCAUACCGCGUGGGUGAAGAAGGCCUUCGGGUUGUAAAGCCCUUUUGUUGGGAAAGAAAAGCAGCAGGUUAAUACCCCGCUGUUCUGACGGUACCCAAAGAAUAAGCACCGGCUAACUUCGUG